AGGAUCCUACGGGAGGCAGCAGGAGGGAAUUUUCGUCAAUGGGCGCAAGCCUGAACGAGCGAUGCCGCGUGAGUGAAGAAGGCCUUCGGGUCGUAAAGCUCUGUUGCGGGGGAAAAAAGGCAGCAUCAGGAAAUGGGUGCUGACUGGUGGUGCCCCGCCAGAAAGUCACGGCUAACUACGUGCCAGCAGCCGCGGUAAUACGUAGGUGGCGAGCGUUAUCCAGAAUGAUUGGGCGUAAAGGGUGCGCAGGCGGUCCUGCAAGUCUGGAGUGAA
rnacentral:rRNA from 1 species